rnacentral:rRNA from 1 species
UACGAAGGGAGCUAGCGUUGUUCGGAAUAACUGGGCGUAAAGGGAGCGUAGGUGGAUUAAUGCGUUAGAUGUGAAAGCCCCGGGCUCAACCUGGGAAUGGCAUUUAAUACGGUUAGUCUAGAGUACGAGAGGGGAAAGCGGAAUGGCGAGUGGAGCAGUGAAAUGCGUAGAGAUCAUGAGGAAGACCAGUGGCGAAGGCGGGUCUCUGGGCCGAUACUGACGCUGAGGAGCGAAAGCGUGGGGAGCGAACAGG